rnacentral:rRNA from 1 species
GACGUAGGGGGCCAGCGUUGUUCGGAAUUACUGGGUGUAAAGGGUUCGUAGGCGGUGCGGCAAGUUGGGAGUGAAAUCUCUGGGCUUAACCCAGAGGCUGCUUCCAAAACUGCUGUGCUUGAGUGUGGGAGAGGCGCGUGGAAUUGCAGGUGUAGCGGUGAAAUGCGUAGAUAUCUGCAGGAACACCCGUGGCGAAAGCGGCGCGCUGGACCGACAUUGACGCUGAGGAGCGAAAGCUAGGGGAGCAAACGGG